rnacentral:rRNA from 1 species
GUACGAAGGGGGCUAGCGUUGCUCGGAAUCACUGGGCGUAAAGGGUGCGUAGGCGGGUCUUUAAGUCAGGGGUGAAAUCCUGGAGCUCAACUCCAGAACUGCCUUUGAUACUGAAGAUCUUGAGUUCGGGAGAGGUGAGUGGAACUGCGAGUGUAGAGGUGAAAAUUCGUAGAUAUUGGGAAGAACACCGGUGGCGAAGGCGGCUAUCGUGGACCGUAACUGACGCUGAGGCGCGAAAGCGUGGGGAGCAAACAGGGAUUAAGA